GAUGAACGCUAGCGGCAGGCUUAACACAUGCAAGUCGAGGGGUAUAGUUCUUCGGAGCUAGAGACCGGCGCACGGGUGCGUAACGCGUAUGCAAUCUACCUUUUGCAGAGGGAUAGCCCAGAGAAAUUUGGAUUAAUAUCUCAUGGUAUGUGAGAAUGGCAUCAUUUUCACAUUAAAGUCACAACGGCAAAAGAUGAGCAUGCGUCCCAUUAGCUAGUUGGUAAGGUAACGGCUUACCAAGGGAACGAUGGGUAGGGGUUCUGGGAGGGAGAUCCCCCCCACUGGUACUGAGACACGGAACAGAAUCCUACGGGAGGCAGGAGUGAGGAAUAUUGGACAAUGGGCGCAAGCCUGAUCCAGCCAUGCCGCGUGCAGGAUGACGGUCCUAUGGAUUGUAAACUGCUUUUGUACAGGAAGAAACACUGGUUUGUGAACCAGCUUGACGGUUCUGUAAGAAUAAGGAUCGGCUAACUCCGUACCAGCCGCCGCCGUAAGAC
rnacentral:rRNA from 1 species